GAAUUAAUCCGCCUCGCCUCCGUCGGCCGGCAGGGACUGGAGGCCGUCGGUUCUUCAGCUGGAGCUCCACCUGGUGGAACCCUGCAGCACCCAGAGGACGUCUGGGAGGGCCAGUCCGAUGAGGGUCCACAGAAGAAGAAGUGGACGUUCCAGCGGCGUGAAGCGAAUCCUCAGCAGCCUGAUCUUGUACCGAGGACCGAUGACGUUUCCGGUGCUGAUGCGCAUGGAGAUCUUGUGGACGUGCUGCAGUUCUUCAUCGAACUGGGCCAGCAGCCUGGUGGAGGUGUACUGCUCGAACCGCAGGAGCUGACUGAGGAGAAACAGCAGAUCUGAAGGUUCUUAGAUGAAACUGAUGCAGAAUUCAAAGUUUAGAAACGCCAGAUAUGUGCAUUUUCUCAUGUUUUAGUCAUAUACACCUCUACUGGUUGCUUGUUCAAUGAUGUUCUAAACCAUGAAUGGACUUACUGGUCUGUUCGGGCCUCGGUGAAGUUCCUUCCGCUGUGCAGCCGGAUGUAGACGACGCCCCAACGGAGGUACUGGUUCCACGUCACCAUGUCCACCCUGUAGCUCAUCUCUGCAGCACAGGACACACAUUUAUUAGCCACUGACUGCAAAAAUAUUCUCCUGGAUUGUUAUAAAGUCAUUCUACUGAUGCUCUCAUCUACUUUAUCCUCCUUUAUGAAGGCUGAUACUUGGACCAAGAUGGCCAACUGUUGGAUUUUCACAAUAAAAGUCCUCUUUAAGGGCAGUUUCCUUCCACUCAGAUGUGACUGUGGAUGAUGUGAGGUUUACAUGAGUGUGUCGGACUCACUCCUGUAGGGCAGCGUCGCCGUGGUGCUGAAGAAGGCUUUGGUCUGUCUGAGUCGCAGCAGAGUUUCCCUCCACGGGCCGAGGUCGUAACCUGCAGGGGGUUUUCCUGCUUCAGAAUGGACUUUGUGGGGGCAACUACUGAGUGGGGUCAGUAGAGAUGUCUGAGUGAUCUUAGAGUGUUUCGUCUCCUACCGAGCAGCGGGCAGGACGCCGGUCUGAAGGCCUCACACUGCAAACAUCGACCCUCCAGGAAGUCGCUGUAGGAGGAGCAGGGGUAUCCGGUGAGGCUGCAGGUCCGGUUCAGGGAGCAGAGGUAGAGGAAGACGGAGCGCUGGUGGUCGCACACAAAUCCAUGUCGGUGUGAAGAACGUCCACAAACAUGGCGUCCGUUGGGUCCAGCCUCUCCUCCGGCGUGGCGCUGGUGAACAUCGGUCCGGCCGGGUCAAGACCUGGAGGACAGGAAGUUCAUAAAAAGGUUUGCUCCGAUGAACCCGGCCAGGUGAGCUCCCAGACUGACGCCGAUGAGGUGGAUCGAGCUCAGAGAGGCUCCUUCCUCCUGCAAAAAAACACACAUUCAAGAGCAUGAGGAGUCCCAGCAGAGCCAGGAGUCGGCUGGACGGCAUCCUUCCUUCAGCAGGGCAGAGAGGCAGCGACGGGGGUGAAGGAGGUCCGACGGCAGAGUGGAGGAAUGGAUGAAGGAGGGAUUGAUGAGAGGAGGAGGAGGGAGAGGAGGAGGCGGUGACUUCCUUAGGAGGAAGGAGGAGCAACUGGUGGUGGUGAGAACAUUCAACAUCUGACCAGAAGUUACAGUUAAAGAUUUCCAGCUCAGAAGCUUGUGUUGAGUUAAUCCUGCUGGGAAAUGAAGACGUCGAGGAGCUCAAUGGGGAGGCAGCAGACCACGACAGAGGUUCCACUGGGGACGGAGGACAUCGACUGCA